rnacentral:rRNA from 1 species
UACGUAGGGUGCGAGCGUUGUCCGGAAUUACUGGGCGUAAAGAGCUCGUAGGUGGUUUGUCGCGUUGUCCGUGAAAACUCACAGCUUAACUGUGGGCGUGCGGGCGAUACGGGCAGACUGGAGUACUGCAGGGGAGACUGGAAUUCCUGGUGUAGCGGUGGAAUGCGCAGAUAUCAGGAGGAACACCCGUAGCGAAGGCGGCACUCUGGGCCGGAACUGACACUGAGGAGCGAAAGCGUGGGUAGCAAACAGG